GAAUAUUGGUCAAUGGGUGAGAGCCUGAACCAGCCAUGCCGCGUGCAGGAUGACAGCCUUCUGGGUUGUAAACUGCUUUUGUCAGGGAAGAAAAAGGUCAUGCGUGAUCAAUUGCCGGUACCUGAUGAAUAAGCACCGGCUACCUCCGUGCCAGCAGCCGCGGUAAUACGGUGGGUGCAAGCGUUGUCCGGUUUUAUUGGGUUUAAAGGGUGCGUAGGCGGGCCUUUAAGUCAGUGGUGAAAGCCCAUCGCUUAACGAUGGAACUGCCAUUGAUACUGGGGGCCUUGAGUUCAGUUGAGGUAGGCGGAAUUUAUGGUGUAGCGGUGAAAUGCAUAGAUACCAUAAAGAACACCAAUUGCGGAGGCAGCUUACUGGGCUUGAACUGACGCUGAGGCACGAAAGCGUGGGGAUCGAACAGGA
rnacentral:rRNA from 1 species